UCUUAUUUACUGUGCCUUUUUAAAGGUUUUUGGGGACUUUUGUGUUGGUGUUUAGGGUUAGAAAAUAUUGAACUCGGGCUGGAGAAGUGGGUUGGUGGAUAAAGGCAGCUUGCUGCUGAGUUUAGUCCCUUGAACCUACAUGGUGGGAGAGGUCCAACUCCUUAAAGCUGUCUUCUGUCCUCCAUAUGUGAGCCACGCAUGCUAAAUGGAGAACAAAAACAGAACUCUGUAAAAAGAAUAGAUUUCAUUUAAAGCUUUAUUGUGAAGCCAGAGGCAGCUCGGUGGUAGAGUGCUUUACCUGGCAUACUAGCAUCAUGAGCCCCUGACUCAAUCCUGAGCAUCAAUGGGAUGGGUUGGAGGAGGGAGCAGAGCUUCUAUUAUUAGUUCUAUGUGUGGCAAUGAAAUCUUGUGUCAAUGUAGUACAAAAAAUGUGAUCAGAACUGAACACAAAGAUUCCUCCCCUUAAUGAAGAUUUGCCGUGUUGUGAGCAGAAACAGUGCACUUUACAUUAAAAAUGCCAAUUGGGCAUAACUAGGAGUUUUCUCAUCUGCUUUGAAUGGCUGGACUUUAUAGAAUUGACUGGUAACCUUUGGAAAACAACUUGUUAUUCAGUAUCAAAGACUAAUAGUAUUGGAUAUUUUUGAUGUGGGGCUAUUGGGUGUGAGUUUAAACAAGUUAUUGAUGUAAAUCAGGACAAAUGGAAAUAAGAGAGGGUAGCCCCCCACCCCAAAAGAAAACACCUAGAACUUCCUUCUACUACGUCAGCACUUCCUGGGUUAGGCGUUCUUUUAAGGAGUUGUUCAGGGUCUCGUCUGCAUGUCCUGACCUCACUGAAUUCUGAAAAGGUAGGAGGUUCUUUUCACAUGCCUAGAACUGCAUAUGUAGUAUCGGGGUUACUGUGAUGUUUUGAUAGGACACAAGUCUCCACAAAGCCUGCAGAGUUAGAUUACCAAAUCUUAGAAGAAUAGUAAGUUCUUGCUUACUAAAUGUUUAGAAUUUACCUAUUAGUCUGAGCUUUUGAUUUUUAUUAAAACAAGUGGAGCUGUCUCACUAAGUUCCUUUGCCAGCUAACCAAAAACAAGAGAAAUCACUGUUUUAGAAAUAAAACCUUGUCAUGUCUGGCCUUCAUUCACCACACAGAACAAUGCCUCUUGCUACUUAAAAGGUCUUCAACCAUACUUAUGUUUUUAAAUUUUUUCAGUAGUUUAAAAAUAAAAUUCAGUUAAACUAUUUUGAAACUCCCUGCCCAGAGUGUUUCUUUAUGAAGAUACACUCUUAAAUAAGUUGGAUUGUUAGGGCAGUUUCUAACCAACUGUACCUAAUUGGGCAUCACUUGUGGACCUCUUUGUGCCAACUAAAGAGAAAUUGAGCUGCUUUACUCCUCUGCCUUCCCACCCAGAAACCGUGUCAGCAUGGUUGCCUGGCUACCUGCUCAUGAAGGACUUGAUUAAUAACAAAUUGGCAAUUUAACGAGCCACUUCCAUGAUCUCCAAAGAAACCAAAAUACAAACACAAUAUUUAAUCUUGCCAACCGAAGACGAUGUGACUACAUGAAGUGAGUAUGCUUUUUUGAACUGUUUACAGUAAUUGGGACAUUAACUUACUGAUAAUUCCAUGUAGGUUAAAGAGGGCUUUGCUGAAGUCUAGCUGUCUAAGUAUAUUUGGAUCUUGAUGAAUGGUGACUUAAGUAACACCCCAUAUCUCAAGAUGCAAAUAUAUAUCUGCUGAUCUGUAAGUUAAAGCCUAAUUAUUAAAGGAAAACUAGGGGAAAGUUAAAAAGCAUACUCGCUGUAAUGAGAAUAGAGGACCGCAUUUUAAAACAAUCUAAAUUUAUAUCUAAACCAUGGGAAGGCAAUUUUGGGGGCAUGCAGAUUUUUGUGGUUUCUGUCUGUCUUUUUUUUUUUUUUUUAAACACAUCUACAAAUAAACCAUUACAAAUCCAUUAACUCUAUAAAACAGUAAGAGUGUCCCAAAACUUGGAAGAUCAAAUUUAUAGUACAGUGGAUUGCCCUAAUAAAACAGUGCUCUUUUUGGUUGCUUUAAAAAGUAUGAUGAAGGAAUUAUCACCUUAAGUAUUAUGAUAAUCUGUACUUACCUCAGCAAUAAAUUACAUUUUGGCUGAUAGUGAUUGGUAUAUUCCCAGAACUUUUUUGGCUUUCUAAGACUUGUGUUCUAUGAUAACAUACACUACCUUUUUUCCUGGGGUGGGCAGGGUCUCCUCACGCCCUGGCUAUUCUAGAGCUUCCUAGUGUUGGAUUACAAGCAUAAAUUUUACAACCUACUGACAUGACACUGUUUUGAAUGCAUUUUCUUACUCUUAAGGUUCAUAUUCUGCAUACAUGUGAUCAUGGAUGUCUGUUAAAUAGAUUCUGUUUGUUGAUUCUGAGAUGUAGUUUGAACAGCAAUACCUCUGUGUUUCAGGUGCCCUCCGUUUUAAGAGAAAAAUCAUUGGAUUAAAAGAUGAAUUUUAUAACCGCUACAUAAUGAAAAGUUUUUUAUUUGAACCUGUAGUCAAAGCAUUUCUCAACAACGGAUCUCGUUACAAUCUGAUGAACUCCGCCAUAAUAGAAAUGUUUGAAUUUAUUAGAGUGGUAGGUUCUGUCUUCUUACCUUAGGAUUUUGGUUUUAAUAUGUCUGAGAAACUUGAGUAUCUGUUAUUGGUAUUUUGUCUUUAGAGUGUUUGGAGAGAUUUUAAGAACCAUGCUACAAAAAUCCUAAAAGUAAUUCAAUUUAGACGAAUAAAAACCCAAAACUAUCUGGCAUGCUUUAUAGAGCUAAAGGUGGUGGCUUGUAUCUGGAAUCCUAAUACUUCUCAGACCCUGUCUCAACCAACAACAAAAAAAAAAGAAUUGUGAUAAGAGAUACAGAACUUCAAGGCCAGCCUGGUCUACAAAGUGAGUUCCAGGACAGCCAGGGCUAUACAGAGAAACCCUGUCUCAAAAAACC
rnacentral:lncRNA from 1 species